UCAAGAAGCAGCAGGCGCGCAAAUUACCCACUCCCGGCACGGGGAGGUAGUGACGAAAAAUAACGAUACGGGACUCAUCCGAGGCCCCGUAAUCGGAAUGAGCACACUUUAAACCCUUUAACGAGUAUCCAUUGGAGGGCAAGUCUGGUGCCAGCAGCCGCGGUAAUUCCAGCUCCAAUAGCGUAUAUUAAAGUUGUUGCGGUUAAAAAGCUCGUAGUUGGAUUUGUGUCCCACGCUGUCGGUUCACCGUUCGUCGGUGUUUAACUGGCAUGCCCGUGCGGACGUCCUGCCGGUGGAUGCGGUCGACCGUGGGCCUCUGGUCUGCGCGUCGGCGGUCCGAUGCAAUCCUACCGCGGUGCUCUUUACCGAGUGUCGAGGUGGGCCGGCACGUUUACUUUGAACAAAUUAGAGUGCUCAAAGCAGGCAGUGGUUCGCCUGAAUAUUGUGUGCAUGGAAUAAUGGAAUAGGACCUCGGUUCUAUUUUGUUGGUUUUCGGAACUUGAGGUAAUGAUUAAUAGGGACAGACGGGGGCAUUCGUAUUGCGACGUUAGAGGUGAAAUUCUUGGAUCGUCGCAAGACGAACCUAAGCGAAAGCAUUUGCCAUGGGUGUUUUCAUUAGUCAAGAACGAAAGUUAGAGGUUCGAAGGCGAUCAGAUACCGCCCUAGUUCUAACCAUAAACGAUGCCAGCUAGCGAUCCGCCGAAGUUCCUCCGAUGACUCGGCGGGCAGCUUCCGGGAAACCAAAGCUUUUGGGUUCCGGGGGAAGUAUGGUUGCAAAGCUGAAACUUAAAGGAAUUGACGGAAGGGCACCACCAGGAGUGGAGCCUGCGGCUUAAUUUGACUCAACACGGGAAACCUCACCAGGCCCGGACACCGGAAGGAUUGACAGAUUGAGAGCUCUUUCUUGAUUCGGUGGGUGGUGGUGCAUGGCCGUUCUUAGUUGGUGGAGCGAUUGUCUGGUAUC
rnacentral:rRNA from 1 species